UACGUAGGGGGCAAGCGUUGUCCGGAUUUAUUGGGCGUAAAGAGCGUAUAGGCGGCCAGGUAGGUCUGCUGUGAAAACUCGAGGCUCAACCUCGAGAUGUCGGCGGAAACCAUCUGGCUAGAGUCCGGAAGAGGAGAAUGGAAUUCCCGGUGUAGCGGUGAAAUGCGUAGAUAUCGAGAGGAACACCUGCGGCGAAGGCAGCUUGCUGGGACGGUACUGACGCUGAUGCGCGAAAGCCAGGGGAGCGAACGGG
rnacentral:rRNA from 1 species